GGCUCCGUAGCUCAUCUGGAUAGAGCGGUUGCCUCCUAAGCAACAGGUAGUGCGUUCGAGUCGCAUCGGAGUCA
rnacentral:tRNA from 1 species